AUCUGUUUAGUAUAAAAAGUAUAUUUGGCUUCCAACCAAAAGGCCUGAACUUCAGAAUAGAUA
rnacentral:tRNA from 1 species